UGUGAGAUGGCCGAGCGGUCUAAGGCGCCAGACUAAGGACCAGGGCAUUCGAUGCCCACCAGUAUAGGUACUCACGUGCCCAUUAAUUACGUAAUCUGGUCCUCCGGGGCGAGGGUUCGAAUCCCUCUCUCAUCA